CAGCAGCCGCGGUAAUACGUAGGGGGCAAGCGUUGUCCGGAAUUAUUGGGCGUAAAGCGCGCGCAGGCGGUCUUUUAAGUUUGGUGUUUAAGCCCGGGGCUCAACCCCGGUUCGCACUGAAAACUGGGAGACUUGAGUGCAGGAGAGGAAAGCGGAAUUCCACGUGUAGCGGUGAAAUGCGUAGAGAUGUGGAGGAACACCAGUGGCGAAGGCGGCUUUCUGGACUGUAACUGACGCUGAGGCGCGAAAGCGUGGGGGAGCAAACCAGGAUUAGAUACCCUGGUAGUCCACGCCGUAAACGAUGAGUGCUAGGUGUUAGGGGUUUCGAUACCCUUGGUGCCGAAGUAAACACAAUAAGCACUCCGCCUGGGGAGUACGCUCGCAAGAGUGGAACUCAAAGGAAUUGACGGGACCCGCACAAGCAGUGAGUAUGUGGUUAAUUCGAAGCAACGCGAAGAACCUUACCAGGUCUUGACAUCCCUCUGACCGGUACAGAGAUGUACCUUCCUUCGGGGCAGAGGAAACAGGUGGUGCAUGGUUGUCGUCAGCUCGUGUCGUGAGAUGUUGGGUUAAGUCCCGCAACGAGCGCAACCCUUGAACUUAGUUGCCAGCAUUCAGUUGGGCACUCUAGUUGACUGCCGGUGACAAACCGGAGGAAGGUGGGGAUGACGUCAAAUCAUCAUGCCCCUUAUGACCUGGGCUACACACGUACUACAAUGGCCGGUACAACGGGAAGCGAAGUCGCGAGAUGGAGCGAAUCCUUAGAAGCCGGUCUCAGUUCGGAUUGCAGGCUGCAACUCGCCUGCAUGAAGUCGGAAUUGCUAGUAAUCGCGGAUCAGCAUGCCGCGGUGAAUACGUUCCCGGGUCUUGCACACACCGCCCGU
rnacentral:rRNA from 2 species